AGUCGGCCAGAGAGCUAGAGUUGCAAGGCCAGUCUCAGGUUCUUAGGCAUCGGUGUUAUUGUCGGUUACUGGCAUUUUUGCCACAGAUCCCCCACCUAGCUUAGCUCUGAUUAGACAUCUGCUGUUUCUCCCUCUCUGGGUCAGAUGUCACACUGCAUAGCAUUUGCUCCGAGUCAUUCCCCACGCUGCAGCAUCAGGGAGGUGGAGGUGCCCCAGAGAGAGAGGGGUGGACAGCAACACGACUUCCCAGAGGUUAGAGGAGGGUGCAUCUGUGCAAGCGAGACAGCUGCUGGAACACAUACAGUAUGCUAACGACGUAGACCUCCAACUACAAAUCCGAUGGAAAUAACAUCAAGCUGUCAGCCUUACGGGCCCCGCCCGCCCCACAUGGACCCCCAGGCCCCCCAGGCCCCAGAUCUCCCUGACACACAACUCUGGCUCUGCUUCUGAUGGAUGGGAGCCUGGAUCCAUGGGCCGGGGCCCCGAGCUAGAGGGGGCCCACUCACUGAUGUGAAAAAGUAGUCCCAUCUGCCGCAAGUCUCUCCUCAAGUCUUCUGAGGAGUAUUUCAGGGAAAAGCGAAACGUCUCAGCAUCACUUCAUAGUACAUGGCUUUGAUUUGGAGGCUUGCUCGGGCCAGGGACCAAGUCAGGAUGUGUGACUGAGGGACUGUAAACCAAUACUGGAACACAACAUUGAGAUGGCUUGCACAACGGACAUUAAGCCUCAUUUUAAACACCCCCGCAGAGCAACCUUGAUUUAGUAGCGCCGUGUGUGUGAGCGCGUGCGUGUGUUUGUGUGUGCACUUGCGCAUGUGUACUUGUAUGAUGUAUAGUCAUGGAUGAUUCUCAAUCCUGGUCCAGGUUAGGCUUGAGUGUGUUCGUGUUGUAGCAGUAGUUGCUAUUCUGAGCCUAACCCCUGGCACUGGACCAGGCUUCUCUCCCAUGAUGGUAUCAGCCAUGAUGGCCUGCUGCUCCUCUGUCUUUACCCAGUACUGGAAAUAGCAACCCACUGCUGCCCCCAGUCACCGGAAACGGCCCUGAUCCAAUCAGCUUCACCGGUAGUUUAACUAAAUGGCUUCCUAAAAUGGCACAGAUCAUAUUCUGGAUGAUGUAUCACCCCUUUCCGCUGGACAUCCAAGGGAAGUCCUAUUUGACGAAUAGCCGGCACCUACGCUCUUAUUUUAACGAGGUAAUAACGACGAGUGUUUUUACCUCAACUGCAGGGCAGUUCCGUUUCCUCCGAAGCAGGAGAGCGGCAGCGCUGCUGACAUAUUCUCUUCGCACGUCUGACUCUGGUCGGAAGCGCUCA